UACGUAGGGUGCGAGCGUUAAUCGGAAUUACUGGGCGUAAAGCGUGCGCAGGCGGUUUUGUAAGUCUGACGUGAAAGCCCCGGGCUCAACCUGGGAAUUGCGAUGAAGACUGCAAGGCUUGAAUCUGGCAGAGGGGGGUAGAAUUCCACGUGUAGCAGUGAAAUGCGUAGAGAUGUGGAGGAACACCGAUGGCGAAGGCAGCCCCCUGAGUCAAGAUUGACGCUCAUGCACGAAAGCGUGGGGAGCAAACAGG
rnacentral:rRNA from 1 species